UACGGAGGGUGCAAGCGUUAUCCGGAUUCCCUGGGUUUAAAGGGUGCGUAGGUGGGUCUGUAAGUCAGUGGUGAAAUCUCCAAGCUUAACUUGGAAACUGCCGUUGAUACUAUAGACCUUGAAUGCUGUGGAGGUGAGCGGAAUAUGUCAUGUAGCGGUGAAAUGCUUAGAUAUGACAUAGAACACCAAUUGCGAAGGCAGCUCACUACCCAGAUAUUGACACUGAGGCACGAAAGCGUGGGGAUCAAACAGG
rnacentral:rRNA from 1 species